UACGGAGGGAGCUAGCGUUGUUCGGAAUUACUGGGCGUAAAGCGUGCGCAGGCGGUCUGUUAAGACCGAUGUGAAAUCCCCGGGCUUAACCUGGGAACUGCAUUGGUGACUGGCAGGCUUUGAGUGUGGCAGAGGGAGGUAGAAUUCCACGUGUAGCAGUGAAAUGCGUAGAGAUGUGGAGGAAUACCGAUGGCGAAGGCAGCCUCCUGGGCCAACACUGACGCUCAUGCACGAAAGCGUGGGGAGCAAACAGG
rnacentral:rRNA from 1 species